AUACGUAGGUGGCGAGCGUUGUCCGGAAUGAUUGGGCGUAAAGGGCGCGUAGGCGGCCCGGUAAGUCUGGAGUGAAAGUCCUGUUUUUAAGAUGGGAAUUGCUUUGGAUACUUUCGGGCUUGAGUGCAGGAUAGGUAAGUGGAAUUCCCAGUGUAGCGGUGAAAUGCGUAGCGAUUGGUAGGAACACCCGUGGCGAAUGCAACUUUCUGGGCUAUAACUGAAGCUGAGACGCGAAAGUGGGGAGAGAAAACAGGAUUAGAUACCCUGGUAGCCCACGUUGUAAACGAUGAAUGCUAGUUGUAGGGGGCAACGACCCAUUGUGUGCCGUAGGCAAAGCAAUAAGGAUUCAGGCUGGGGAGCACGGCAGCAAGGUUGAAACUCAAAUGAAUUGACGGGG
rnacentral:rRNA from 1 species